GCCCUCAGGCUCUUAGCACAUACACUAAAACUGAAGGAUACAGAGAAGGUUAGCAUGGCCCCUGCGCAGGGAUGACACACAAAUUUGUGAAGUGUUCCAUUUUUAU